GAUUAUGUUGUCAUUGUGGACAAACUGUGACAUAUGUUGUCACAUGGACAAACUGUGAGAUGGAUAAGGUUUCAAUGGAAUGGCCCUACCCAAGGUGUUGCAGCCUCAAUGUCCAGAUUGAGAUCGAUGAUGUACAAUGUCCCUCACGGGUCUGUACUUGGGCCAGUGCUGUUUAUUAUUGAUAUAAACAGUAAGAUUAUUUGCAUUUUUAGCAAGUUAUGGAUUACACCAGGAUGAAGUGCAGUUGAUGCACUAGAGGAAUGACAUGAAGAAGGACUUUGACAAACUUGACAAGUGUGUGAGCAGCUUGAUAGUUGAACAAGGUCAAGUGAAAGGUUCUGUACGUGGGCUGGGACAAUCCCCAGUACCAGGACAGCCUAAGAUCAGCAAGCCAACGGCAUCUUGAGUUGCAGCAAAAACAAGUGUGGCCGUAGGUUGAGGGAGAUUUACUCUGCUGGAAAGACCUCACCUAGACUACUGCAUUCCAGCUCUGGGGCUCUCAGCACUAAAAAAAACAUGAAUGUGUCAGAGAGGGUCCAGUAAGUGUGGUGAGACACUGGAGCAGUUUGCUCCAAUAAGAUGGAAGCGUUCAAGGCCAGACUGGAUGAAGCCUUGUGCAACCUGCUCUCAUGAAAGAUGUCCCUGGCUGCACCAGGGGGAAUUGGAACUUAAAAGGUCCCUUCCAACCCAAACCAUUCUACGAUUCUUGAACCAUGAGUCUCAGA